UAGAUAGAUAGAUAGAUAGAUAGAUAGAUAGAUCUAGCAACGUUACGUCGUUCGAGCGCUUUACGACGGUGCUUCAAACAUAAGCAUUAAAUUAUUUUCAAGUUUGUCGUGUAGCUAUACAAACGUCUUCAUUUAAGGUAGAUGAUGUCAGUUAACUACAAAGGCAAUUCGUAUUGAGCGAGACGACCCUCGCAAGGCGAAUGAAAUGAUAAAACUCCCUUUAAAAUCGCUGCAUAAUUUGUACGUUGAUGCAAUAGGCCUACUCAGGCCUGCGUAUUUGAAAAUAAGCCUGACAGGCUGUUGUGGGUUUAAAUCCCUAAGCAAAUGAGACCAAUCAGUGAUUUGGAGUCUCAGGAAACGUUUUUGUGUAGCAAUAAAAUGAGAAAAGGAUAAAGAUAAAUCAGUGUUCGACAAUAAAUCAAUGCAGCAUGAGAGAUGAGAUGAGCGCGGUGGGGGAUGGGACUCAACGCGCAGAUGACAGGCCAUAUGGAGUCGGCCUUCUUUUUUGGACACAGUUUGAUGAACUAAUACUUUCUAAGGGUUUACUGCGGUGUUAACAAAAUAUUUAUUUCACGUAAAAACGUUUACGUCGAAGAAUGAACAGUCAAUGGAAUCGUGGCGCAUGAUGACCUUAUUUCUUAAAGGUGCUCGCGGUUUAUUUGCCAAUACGCAUUCCAUAAGCGCAUUCUUUAUUUUUAUUUAUUUUUUGUAGGGGUUAGAAUGUAAAAACGUCCAAUUUGAAAUAGGUUUGUUGUUCUUCAGAUUAUAGACCAUUUUGGGAAGUCGUGCGUACGAAUUGCACGUUGACUUGUGCAUCAAGAAAUGAAUAGAAAGAAAAAAGUGCUUUGUUUAGAAAUCACGAUGACUAAAUAAAACAAACACGUGCAGCAUGAAAAGUGCAUAAACUAUUUUCCAAACGGCUAAUGUUUAGGAACCCGACAGAUGCCACCUCUUUCCACCAGAGUAUAAUCCUCUCUGAAGGGAAGGGAACAGAGGAGCAGGACGGAGAGCUUCAGUGUGUGAUAAACUGGGCUGCUCUCCUCCUCUCUGUCAGAUCGCGCUCUGCAUCACACCAUUUCACAUGAUGACCGACUCUGCUUACGAGCACAGAAACCUUCAGCUCUGGCUAUUUGCUUCCAACAUGCCUUUUCUGCUUUCUUUUUCCCCCCGUUUAUCUUGAAGAAAUUUGAGUGAUGCAACACUGUAAGCGGAAAUGAUUUAUGUCGCAUCCUACAGCAUCAAGGUGCGCAAAAGCGAGCGGAACAUUUGAUGGUUUUGGAAGGACGCUCUUCUGCACCGACUGGCUUGUGGACAUUUUCCCAAACUGGAUUUAUGGACACUUAUUAUCUCGGGGGAUAAAAACCUAUUAUUUAUAUCCUACUUCGCAAGGUGUAUUUGUCGCAUAUAACAGUUGACUGUAAAUUCAUUGAGGUGCCACUGUAUCAAAUGAUGACAGGCUAUAUUAAUAGGUUUUUUGAUUUUCAGACUGAAUGGACGUCACUGAAUGGAUCGCCUAAUUAAAAUCCUAUUUGCGGGGAAUGUUCCUUUCUGUGUAUGGUGCAAGGUUGGCUUUGACAAAUGGUGCCCUCCACUUUUUUCCCAAUAUUUAGUUUACCCCCUCCUGAUGCAGGUGCUUUCAACUGCCCCCACCCCGCCCGACCCCCCACAAGAGGCGGCGGUGUCUCUGGUUUAGUCCCACAGUUUCCCCCUUCUUUCUUACCUCUGCUGCAUUUUGCAUGAGCUAUAUAGGUCAUUAGCAUUUUAGCGUAUGCAAGACUUGACAAAGCUGGUGAGUAGCCAGAUGGGCCCUCUACUAUUUUUUUUUUUUUUUUUCUCUUGGGAGUUGAGCAAGGGACCAACUGCAGCAAGCCACUGAGCGCUUUCUUUUUAUGGCCAUCACUCGGGCCUUAUGUUGAACCAACACAUGAUGGAGAGAUGCGCACCGUCCUGUGGAAAUAACGCAUUCGAAAAAAUAGGUAAUGUAAUAAAUGGGAACGCUUGCUUGAAUUAUGAUGUUAUGCACAGAUGCUUUUAAUGAUGCAUGAUGCUCAGUGCAAUGUUGGAUGCUGACGCUACACCAGUCGGAAGAGGACGUAGAUAUUUUGGUGCAACAUCUUUGCUGUAGCUUAGUUGUGCGAUUCAGAACACUGUGGUUGCAAACAGGCCUGCUUUUCUUCGUGUUCACAGCGGACCUUGAUUUAAAUUUCCAUACAAUUAAGGCACGCGGUGAAUGCCAAGAAAGAUGGCAAAUAUCAUCGUUGAUUGUUUUUUAUGAUAGCAUAGCGCAUAUAGUCCGUGGUUUGCGAUGCAUGACAGUUCUUAUUUUUCUUUCGGUCGGUUUUGGUUUUUGCUAGAGCGCGCGUGAGUGUGGAGGCGAGCCGACGCAUUAAUGCGGCCAAACUGAUCUUUAAAAUUUCAUUGCGUUCUUCCAUAAUUUUGUGUUGCGCAAAAGAGCGUAUCGUGGAAUAUUGUAAAGUGUCAUUGUGCGUUGAGUUUAAAACUCUAACAAUUACCAUGAAGUCUGAUGUAACGUAUUUUUGACAUUUACCUUCUAUUUAGAGGACGAUUUAAAUCUAGAAAUAGUCUCAUUUGCAGAUCUGUGUGGGGACACGAUGUCUUCAGAAGAAGAUGAAGAAUAAUAUCGAUAGAAAAGUUGUGAGGCCCACGGUGACAACCAAAUUAAACAGAAUGCACUGAUAUCUUACAUUUCUGAACGUUUUGGACGACAGCAGUUGGUCCUCAAAAUGACACUUGUCAUGUGUCCUCAUAAGGGCACUGAAAAUAUUGAACAUGUACGUUUGUAUUGUAUUUAUGGUUGUGUAAAUGAUUUUAGCUUGUCAAUAAAGUCACAUUCACUAAGCAGA